AUGUAGUUGAGGUCAAUGAACGGGUCAUUGAUUGCUACAAUCUGGAUUUUGCCAGAGAUGAAGGCAGCUCUGGUGACCAGGCGGCCGAUACGGCCAAAUCUAGGAGAGGAACAGAAGAGCUCACUUCUGAACUUCAGU